CUUGCCGUGUCGUGGUAGGAUCAGAAGGCCAGUGAAAAACGUAUCCAUGACGAGCAGUCGUACAAUGAUUCAAUGUGGCUCCACCGAUUUUGUCGUGAAUUAACUGUUAGAGUGCAUGAAUGAAGGUUAGCGGCGUUUUCAGUUGUCAAUGAAGUCUCUAGCUCUCAGUCCCUGAGUUGAAAAUAGUUUUUGCCAUUAAACAUAAUGAGUAACUUCAAGCUUUUGGAUCACGAGUACCUCUCGUCUCAAGAGUUGGCCGGGUUUGAAACGUACAAGUACAGUUCCAUAGACAGCAGCCCCAUUGGAAAAUACAUCACUCAUCCAUUUUGGAAUUUUGUUGUGAAGUUUUGCCCCACAUGGAUUGCUCCAAAUGUUUUAACUUUUACUGGUUUCCUUUUCACUGUAGUGAACUUUGUUCUUUUUGCUUAUUAUGAUCCUAAUUUCUUCGCAUCUAGUAUUGAUAAACCUCAAGAUCCACCUCUGCCUCGCUGGCUCUUUUUGCUGGCAGCCGUCAACCUUUUCUUGGCUCACACCUUAGAUGGCAUUGAUGGUAAACAAGCUAGAAGGACAGGGACAAGUGGCCCAUUGGGUGAGCUGUUUGACCAUGGCUUGGACUCCUGGUCUUCUGCUUUCAUUCCUAUAUGCCUUUAUUCGGCCUUUGGAUGUGCUGACCUCACUACAUUCCGAAUGUUUUUCUGCCUGUGGAAUGUGUUUUUUAAUUUCUACACUUCACACUGGGAAAAGUACAAUACUGGAAUUCUCUUUUUACCAUGGGGAUAUGAUGGUGCAAUGAUUGUUGUGAUUUUCUUGUUUACCAUCACAGGCAUUUUUGGACAUGAAAUGUGGUACUUUUCAUUAUGGAAUGGAUUCACUGCUAGUCACUUGUUUGAGUUCCUCUUUUAUUUUAGUGCAUUAAUUACAAAUGUACCUGUUGUGCUGUUGAAUAUUUACCUGUCUUACCGAAAUCGCACUGGACGAAUGCGACCAUUUGUUGAAGCAGUAAGACCUCUUUUCCCAGUUUGCUUGCUUAUGGCAAUUUCUACUGCAUGGGUUGUGUGGUCCCCUAACGACAUUGUUUCAGCAGAUGCACGGAUCAUGUUUCUGUGCAUUGGGACUAUAUUUUCAAAUAUCUGCUGCCGAUUAAUUGUAGCACAAAUGAGUGACCAACGUUGUGAUGCUUUCAACUUACUCCUAAUACCUCUUAGUGCUGUGGUGGCCUGUGUGUGGAUUCUGCCCACUGGUCGAUCCCUUAUGUUUGAGCAGGGCCUUCUCUAUCUGCUCACAACGAUAGCUAUAUGUGCACAUACUCACUAUGGAACUUGUGUGGUACGCCAAAUGUGCCGCCACUUCCGCAUUGAUUGUUUCAGAAUUCGGCAACACACAGAUUGACUAUUAGCCGACAACAUGUGUUAACUGGUUAUGAUUGAAGAUCAUAAUCAGUUAAAUUCCAAGAGCAAACUGCAGGAAUUUAACUUAAUUACCAAAGAAAUUAUACGCAUCUUUCUAUGUGUGUAUGUGUGAGUGAAUCAGUGUGUGAUCAUACAUUUAGCGUAAGGAGGGCCUGUAACUCUUCCCAGAAGUGCUUCAGAUCUCAUGUGAAAUGCUGAAACUAAGAUAUGUAGAUUCUGGUAAGGUAGUUAAUUCACUUGUAUUUUUUCUUGUCUUCUUUAUUAAGAUGUGAAACUUCCUAGCUGUUGAAAAGCAUUGUUACAAUCACCUUAUUGUAUUCCAAACUCCCAGCUAUCAUAGCAUUCCCUACCUAGUUUACCAUAGGACUAUCAACUCCAAUCAUAUAAGGAAAUUCAUAGAAAAAAAGUAGAUUCUUGUUACUUUUUGUUUAAUUUUAAAUUUUUGAAUCAAAUUAUUCUUGCACUUUGCAUAUCCUAAGCCUUAUUCCUAGGAUAGACUUUAAGUGGUAAGUCAUGCACUUUAAAGUGAGAAUUUCUCCUCUCCUUAGUCCUAAGUUUCAAAAUGUGGCUUUGUUGCCAUUCCUUAUUAUUUUCCACUGCUGCCAUCACCAUCAAUAAUUAGUACAUUGACAGUCAUCAAAUUUAUCAUUCUUGUAGUUAGCAGCUAAAGAGUUCUAGAAAGAAAGAAGUCAGAGAAAUUUCCUCAUGCUAAGUGAGGGUACUUAUUUAUGUUUAUUUCAUGUUGAAAUGUUUCAUAUGCUUCCAUCGACAAAAUCUGUGGUUCUGUGACAUUUUUCUAUUUUUAUGAUAGAGGUUCAGAAAAAUUCCAUACGUCUCAAUUAUUUUAGUUGGAUCCAUAUUUGAAGUACAGUACUUAUUUUUGUGCCCUUUCUCUUUCUAUUAGAAAAAUAUCUUGAAGAUAUUGACAACUUUCAAUAACUUUGGGAUAUUUAACUACAAUUGCUUGCUGUCAAACUCAUAUUCUAAAAUUCAGACUAAGUUUGUCAUUUGUGAUAACCAGGCUAAUGAAAAAGUGACAAGUGUAGUUGUAGUAUCAUAUUAUUGUGAUCUAGGAAAUGGAGGUUACUGUGACAUUUUAGCCCUGUGUUCAAAUUGUGGUGCAAAUCUUUAUUAUACCAUGGCUGAGGCAUUGUUGAAAAUUUAUCGAUGUGGUAAUUUUCUUCAGUGCCUUGUAUUGUGUUCUGAUAAUUGUUAAUAAAUUUUCCGAGAUAACUGAACGGAUAUGUGCAAAGUUACAAUGUCUCCAACAUUUAAUAAAAUACACUAAGUAAGAGAUAAUUUUUAUGUAAUGAAACAAAGACAUGCAUAUAGUUUGUUCUCCUGUCUGGCUUCAGUUUGUGUUCUUCAUGAUGUGACAACUUCCACUAAACUGUUAUCAUCAUAAUCUUGUGUAUUAGAAAAUCCUUAUUAUUUUGAAUUUGAAAGUGCACAUUCUGGAGCCUGUUCUUUACCUCAAAUAACAUCUGUUCUCUAGUGAGCUAGUAAAAACAGAUUUUUGAUAUAAUUUGUUUAUUUUUCUUCCUUUUUUAUUUUUAGGCUUUAUUUAAUCCUGUUAAGUUACAUGCUACUUAAGCGAGUCUCAGUGUUUGCUCUUGGUUUACACAUGUUGUCCCUCGGACGCCUAUUUUAUUUGUUUAUAGUUGUGCCAUUCUGUGUGCCAUGCUUGUGUUCUGAUUGUGUCGGAUUUGUUUGUGUUGUGAGCUCCUUUGUAUAUUACUUAAUCAAUUCCAUUAGUAACAUAAGGGAGGCAGGGUGUUUGAAUAAUUGUGGCUGUGUCUCUGUACGUGUUACAAAUGAACUUUCUUAUCGUUUAAUUUAAAUUUUAUGUGAAACAUUGUGGCGUGACUGUACUGCUUCCUUUGUAGCUUGAUUCCUUCUUCUCUACCUGUUGUUUUUCUGUUACCUUCUAUCGACUUCCUUGCUUAAUGAAAUAUUUCUCGUGAUUGUCUCAGCCACCUUCCACAAUUUUUAAAAAAGUAUAGGGUGAGGGUGGGAAUUGUUUAUGUUCGCAUUUCAAGGAUAAGGAUUUGUAUCUAAUGAAGACAUACUUUCAAAAAUACUCUUAAAGCGGGUAUAGUAGCACCCUGUCAGCUUUUAUCUUGCCUCACUUCUUUGCAAAGAAUGAAUAAGUGUACUACUUUUAGUGGAGUAUUGUGCUAGUCUGAAGUUCCAUACUGAUAACAUUUUUGACCAUCAUCUCCUUUUGUCAGCCAUGUGGUAUUAAUUAUUGUUUCAGGGGGGUUACCUCUAGUUGUAGAGGUAUUGUUACAAAACUUAAUCUCCCUGUUCAUUGCUGAGAGUAUAAACCCAAAGUUUACACCCUCUUAAUGACAAUUGUUUGGUGUGUGUGUGUUUGUGUGUCUGCUACAAAGUAUCUUGCAUCAUCAGUGUAUGUUCUUGUCAGAAUACAUGGAAAAGGAACUCACAAAUAAAGUUCUUAUUGUGGA
rnacentral:misc_RNA from 1 species